GAUGAACGCUAGCUACAGGCUUAACACAUGGCAAGUCGAGGGGUAGCACGGAGGAAGCUUGCUUCCUUGGGUGACGACCGGCGCACGGGUGAGUAACGCGUAUCCGACCUACCCAUUACUCGGGCACAGCCGCUCGAAAGAGUGAUUGAUUCCCGAUAUGUCCUUGGAGUAGAUUCAAUGAUGAAAGAUUUAUCGGUAAUGGAUGGGGAUGCGUAAGAUUAGGUAGUAGGCGGGGUAACGGCCACCUAGCCGACGAUCUUUAGGGGUUCUGAGAGGAAGGUCCCCCACACUGGUACUGAGACACGGUCCAGACUCCUACGGGAGGCAGCAGUGAGGAAUAUUGGUCAAUGGUCGGAAGACUGAACCAGCCAUGCCGCGUGAAGGUGACGGCCCUAUGGGUCUUAAACUUCUUUUGCAAGGGAGCAAUAAGGUUCACGUGUGGACUGAUGAGAGUACCUUGCGAAUAAGCAUCGGCUAACUCCGUG
rnacentral:rRNA from 1 species